rnacentral:ncRNA from 1 species
UUUUACCCUAAAGCGCCUGAACUGAGCGGGACGACGAUACGCUUAGUUGACGAGGAGGAGGUUUAUCGACGAUUCGGCGGAUGCCUCCCGGUUGCGGUACACAACUGUCAUGUUCAUCCUUAAAGCAACGGGGCAACCCGGUGGACAAAGGGAUUGAAUUUGUGCCAAA